UUAUGUUGACAAACAGACAUUUCCCUUGAUUUGUGCCCUUUGUGUACACACAAACGGAGAAUUCGCCUCUGAAAAUGAGUCUUUUUGAAAACGAGCCUUUCUAAAAACUCCAGCCUGAGUGGAGAUUUUUGAAAUCUUCGUUUGCACGUUAGCAUGUAAACUU